rnacentral:rRNA from 1 species
GACGAACGCUGGCGGCGUGCUUAACACAUGCAAGUCGAACGAAGUGGCGAACGGGCGAGUAACACGUGUGUAACCUGUCCUUUUCUUUGGGAAAACGGCUGGAAACGGCUGCUAAUACUGGAUAGGAUUGGGUGGUCUCGCGGCCUAUCAGCUUGUUGGUGGGGUGAUGGCUUACCAAGGCUUUGACGGGUAGCCGGCCUGCGAGGUUGGUCGGUCGCACUGGGACUGGGAUACGGCCCAGGAUCCUACGGGAGGCAGCAGUGGGGAAUAUUGCACAAUGGACAAAAGUUUGAUGCAGCGACGCCGCGUGCGGGAUGAAGGCCUUCGGGUUGUAAACCGCUUUAAGCCAUGACGCGGUAGUGGCAGAAGAAGCACCGGCUAACUACGUGCCAGCAGCCGCGGUAAUUC